ensembl:snRNA U6 U6 spliceosomal RNA
GUUUUCAUCAUAUAGACAGCACAUAUACUAAAAUUGGAAUGAUACAGAGAAGAUUAGCAUGGGUCCUGUGCAAGGAUGACACGCAAAUUCGUGAAGCUAUCUUGGUUUUA